UACGGAGGGUGCGAGCGUUAUUCGGAAUUACUGGGCGUAAAGCGCGUGCAGGCGGGAGAGAAAGUCUGAUGUGAAAGCCCGGGGCUCAACCCCGGAAGUGCAUUGGAAACUUCUCUUCUUGAGUACUGGAGAGGAAGGGGGAAUUCCCGGUGUAGAGGUGAAAUUCGUAGAGAUCGGGAGGAAUACCAGUGGCGAAGGCGCCCUUCUGGACAGUUACUGACGCUGAGACGCGAAAGCGUGGGGAGCAAACAGG
rnacentral:rRNA from 1 species